rnacentral:rRNA from 1 species
AUUGAACGCUGGCGGCAGGCUUAACACAUGCAAGUCGAGCGAGCGGCGGACGGGUGAGUAAUGUCUGGGAAACUGCCUGAUGGAGGGGGAUAACUACUGGAAACGGUAGCUAAUACCGCAUACCAUCAGAUGUACCCAGAUGGGAUUAGCUAGUAGGUGGGGUAAUGGCUCACCUAGGCGACGAUCCCUAGCUGGUCUGAGAGGAUGACCAGCCACACUGGGACUGAGACACGGCCCAGACUCCGACGGGAGGCAGCAGUGGGGAAUAUUGCACAAUGGGCGCAAGCCUGAUGCAGCCAUGACGCGUGUGUGAAGAAGGCCUUAGGGUUGUAAAGUACUUUCAGCGAGGAGGCGUUACUCGCAGAAGAAGCACCGGCUAACUCCGUGCCAGCAGCCGCGGUAAUUC